rnacentral:rRNA from 1 species
UACAGAGGGUGCAAGCGUUGUUCGGAAUUAUUGGGCGUAAAGCGCGUGUAGGCGGCUUUGCAAGUCGGGUGUGAAAUCCCUCAGCUCAACUGAGGAAGUGCGCCCGAAACUGCAGAGCUUGAGUACCGGAGAGGAUGGCGGAAUUCCCCAAGUAGAGGUGAAAUUCGUAGAUAUGGGGAGGAACACCGGUGGCGAAGGCGGCCAUCUGGACGGAUACUGACGUUGAGACGCGAAAGCGUGGGGAGCAAACAGG